GCUGGGCAUGGUGGCACGUGCCUGUAAUCCCAGCUACUCAGGAGGCUGAGGCAGGAGAAUUGCUUGAACCUGGGAGGCAGAGGUUGCAGUGAGCUGAGGUCACGCCACUGCACUCCAGCCUGGUACCUGGUGACAGAGUGAGACUCUCUCAAAAAAACAAAAAAAAAAAAAAAUAAGAGACAAGAGUCUUGUUCUGUCAUGCAGGCUGGAGUGCAGUGGUUCGAUCUCUGCUCACUGCAACCUUCACCUCCUGGAUUCAAGCAAUUCUCCUGUCUCA
rnacentral:sRNA from 1 species